UAUUUUUGUCUCAAAAGUUGAAACAUGUGAAAUCUAUAAGAUCAUCUCCCCAUUCUCUAAAUAUACGAAAUCUCCAACUCAAAUUCACACACCAACUCAGCCAAUUACCCACCUUCUUCAUCUCUAUAUCCUCUACAUGCCCUUUACCACCAUCUGUACACAUAAAACAACAACAAAGACUUCAACCACUCAAAUAGAUUCUCACAAAGCAGUCCCUCUUCCUCUCGAUCAUCACCUGCGAGGACAACCAGAGACUACUGGCACCGGUUAACCGGCCGACGAUGGUGUGUCCGACGAACACCCCACCCCCUGUUAGUUAUAGAGCCGACCACCACCAUCGGGUGGUGGUGAGCGAUGUUUGGAUAGAGAAAGAGAGAGAGAGAGACCGAGAAGAAAGAGAAUCGGAGAAGAAGCGGCGUCGCCGCACACGGCGGCGGCAAUAGCGGCGUGGCGGUGGUUCGUGUCUCGGUCCGAUGAGUUUUCCGAUAAUGGUGAGGACGGCUUCAGCUUUGUUCGGGUUGUUUCGAGUUUCUCAGGUCAGACGGUUCAGGUCUCAGGUCCGGGUCAGGUUCAACGGGUUUCGGUUCGGUCGGACUCGGGUCAGUUGGUAAACGGUAAAAGAGGGCUAAGGUCAGCAACUUCAGUUCGGUUCGGGAAAGAAACGGAAAAGGGGUCCGAUUUGGUUUCGGGUCUAGUUACAGAGGUCAACGGCUGGUCAAUGGUUCGGUCAACGGUUCGGGUCAGUCGCGGUCAACAGGUCAAACCGAGUCAACCCAGUGACUCGGUCAACUCAGCUGGUCAAACCCGGUCAACUCAGUUGACUUGGUCAACGCCUCGACCGCGAGUUUUGGUAUAUAGUUUAACGCCGCGAUUAGUAUUUACAUUUUUAUAUAGUUUUAUGUCUCACGUGAAAACGAGCUUGAACCGAACGAGGUGACAAAUUAUUAGUUAAAACAUACUUGGAUUUAUUUACAAUCUUUUUACAUAAAUUGGUUAUGCUAAAUAAUAGUGAAUUGUUGAUUGAA